rnacentral:tRNA from 1 species
AUCUUUCUAGUAUAAGUAAUAUAAGUGACUUCCAAUCACCCGAUCUUGGUUAGAAUCCAAGGAAAGAUA